rnacentral:rRNA from 1 species
AUUGAACGCUGGCGGCAGGCCUAACACAUGCAAGUCGAGCGGCAGCGGGACCUUCGGGUUGCCGGCGAGCGGCGGACGGGUGAGUAAUGCCUAGGAAUCUGCCUGUUAGUGGGGGAUAACGCGGGGAAACUCGCGCUAAUACCGCAUCCGUCCUACGGGAGAAAGUGGGGGACCUUCGGGCCUCACGCUCACAGAUGAGCCUAGGUCGGAUUAGCUAGUUGGUGGGGUAACGGCCCACCAAGGCGACGAUCCGUAACUGGUCUGAGAGGAUGAUCAGUCACACUGGAACUGAGACACGGUCCAGACUCCUACGGGAGGCAGCAGUGGGGAAUAUUGGACAAUGGGCGAAAGCCUGAUCCAGCCAUGCCGCGUGUGUGAAGAAGGUCUUCGGAUUGUAAAGCACUUUAAGUCGGGAGGAAGGGCUGCAGGUUAAUACCUUGCAGCCUUGACGUUACCGACAGAAUAAGCACCGGCUAACUUCGUGCCAGCAGCCGCAGUAACAC